CUGGAUUAUUGCAUAAUGUACCAGAUUGCCCAUUUUCACCUGCUUUUACAUACGAUUACUCCAAAUCUGCACUAAUUAAAUCAGAUUAUUCACUUUUUUCUUUUUUUAAAAUCACAAUUAAUUCCAGUUUUAAAAACAU